AACCGGCCUCGUUCAGAGUCAUUGGCAAGAAGCGGCGACCGGCGCACACGCGCGAGCAGGAGGCCCCCGCGUGGACGCCGGUAUAAAGCGGAAACGCCAGGUUGAGACGAAGGCUGACGUCAAACGGAUUUGAGAGUGAGGAGCGAGAGGGGAGACCCAGUGUGCAGGUGACUGCGUUUGAGCAGGAGCAUUUCCAGGGCAGGUGGUUGGAGUUCACGCUCAGAGUGCUGCAGCAUCCACGACUGCAGCCUGGACAACAUCCGCUCCAAUCCGAGCGGAGAGUGGAGCGUGAGUCACACAGCCUCUGGGUUGGGUUACGAGCGCCAUGGCUUCCAGGGCCAGCAGUUCAUCCUGGAGAAAAAGCGCUGACCCUUACUGGGACACCUGCAGCGGCUCCCUGUCCUACCACACGGAGCGCUUCAUGUCCUUUUCGCCCCGUCUACUGCGCUUCUCACCACAGCAGCCGUAUGAUGAUCGAUGAGAGGGGGAACUUAAUGGGCCGCAGUACCGAGCUGUGCGACGACUACCCCUGAUUGCAGGCCAUGUUUCAUGUGCUAUGAGUGCCCGGACUACAGAGGCCAGCAGCACAACAUGGAGUGUGCCAAACACCAGCUCUGGAGGAACUGGGGCUCCCACUGGCAGACUGGGCUCAGGCUAACACCUGGGCACUGUGCUUUGAGGGCCUGGAGAUACUGCAAGUCCAAAGCCAACUUUAGGUUUGGUUCUGAGCUUAGAGCUUCAUUAAGGCAGCACUGUGAUUACAACACAAACCAUCAGUGACGUAGCAGCCUAUCCAUAUUCCUCUUAAUACUCAUUUUGUUUUAGUACAAGUGAAAUGGGGUUCAGACUCAGAACGUGAGAAGUCCUUUCUGUAAUUCCAGUGUGAUUGCACAUAUUCAGAGACGAUGACAAUUAACACAUCACCAGCACAAUGACAUCAUGUUUUAAAUGCAAAACACUUGGACUAAAAAAUGAUGCAGUUUAUUAUUCAACAGCAUUUUGUUUGGUUAGAACUAUGACUUAAUAUAUUUGUAAAAACCUUGUAUUUUAAGUUAAUGCAUCAGUAAUUUGACACUAGAAAGUGAUGCUUGUUAUAUUCCUCUAUUUCUGAUGUUCUUUUACAGCUUAAAUAGGACUUUUAGACUGAAACUUGUUUUAAAGGGUCAUUAUAGUAUUUCUACUCUUGCAUAAGAAAGUGUUCAUUGAUAUAGUCUAAAGUUAUAAAUGUGUAGGUAUGUAAAUGUAUUGUCACAAUCACUGUAAUGAAGAAUCACAUAAAAUUACAUUGGAGUCUUGC